rnacentral:tRNA from 1 species
GGAGAGAUGGCCGAGCUGGCCGAAGGCGCUCGACUCGAAAUCGAGUAGGCGGCUAAUCACCGUCUCGUGAGUUCGAAUCUCACUCUCUCCGCCA